UAUAUAAUUUAAGUUCCAACCAUUGACAUUGGCAAGGCUGUACAUUUGAGAUCUCAGCUUUGUUGCGCAUAUCUUCUUUUAAAUGACUGUCAAUCAUGGUAAUUUUCUAAAUUGUGUUAAUUAGUUUGUCUAUUAUGAUGUUGCAACUUUUAAUUGUAACCCACACUUAUCCUUUUUAUGAAAAUUUCCAGCCUUGAAUCUUAUGAAAAUUCCCAAGAUACAUAUGUGAAGCUGCAUGGUUCUAUUGAUGAUAUUAUUUUUUGUUGCAUUUCAAGGUUAAUUAUAUAAAUACUAUUUUUGAUGCAUUUCAAGGUUAAUUGUAUAAAUACAAUUGUAUUCAUUUUGCCUUAUCGUAGCAUAUCUUAUGUUCUUGCCUUUCUUUUAUGCCAUUGACAAUUCACUUUAUCUUUAAUUUUGAUGAUUUUAAUGAGUAUAUUGGUAGAGAUUUUAUGGAUCUGAGAAAUUAG
rnacentral:lncRNA from 1 species